ensembl:lncRNA
GUUAAGUUACAAGGUUCGGUAUGGGUUAAGGUUAGGGACUAGAGCUCUUCACGGAUCCACCUGUACCCAAGACCCGAAUGUCAUCUUUUAGAAGAAAACAAGCUACGCUGUUUACAGAGACCUGACCAGAGGCAUGAUAGCAUGUACACUCCUGGAAAACAGAAUGGAAAAUGCUGCACACUGCUGCUCAUGCUCCCAGGUCACAGAUGGUACCAGAUAUGUGACUGGUAGCAGGCUUGCUGACAGAGAACAAAUUAAGUUUGUGGUCUUACCUGCAAAAGUUUGGGAAGAUCACAAAAGAGAUGACACCAGCUCAUCGUGUUGACACCCUCAUUGAUUCCCUCCUCUAUUACUUAGCCAGGGUCAGGGCAAGCACUGGAAACACAACUCUGGCGGCAGAAAGUCCUGGAGGAGGAAACCGAGGCAAAGGAGGAGUUGAUGGUGCUGCUAUAGGCAGCAUUCCAGGUUAGAUUCCAUGUGUUUUGCUCAUAUCUUUUGUUUAUAUGUAAUGAUCCCUUUCUCCCAAUUCAAUCAGUUGAAUAUGUCAUAGGCAGCACACUGUCGGACGUAGAAGUUUGAACCCGUCAGAUAAAGGAGACCCUCACAGGCAAGAGGAUGUUGUCCCUGAUACGUGGAAACUCUUGCCCAGCAAGUAGUUGCUACAUCGCUGACCUAAGGUUUUAUCCCAAUCUAUAGACACCCCUUUCUGUCUGACUUAGCCCUGCCAUUCAUGACAGACACGUUCCUAUAGCCUACUGUGCGCUGUGUCUUGGGACCAUCAUCUCUUGGAUCUGCAUAGCUACUCCCUGUUGCUUUAUACUCUGAUCACCACCUCCUGCUAUCACCUGGCAUUUUCCACUACAUAUCCCAGAAACUUAAGUGCUCCCUCCCCUGCUUAGUAAUUUCGUACCUGUAAACAGGUUGAAAAUAGCAGAUUUGGGCACUAAUAAGAGCCUAAAUUGUAAUGUAGUGGCUAUACAGUAACAUGCUAUAUAUGAUGUCAGAGCUCAGGCUCUGCGAUUCAUAGCUCUGUAUGGGUUUUGACUGACAGUUGUUCUGAACUUGAGCACUGCACGCGGCAA